AAAGCAUAAAGUCAAGCUGUAAAGCUUUCACUUUCACAAUUCUUCCAUCAUUGUAUGUUAAUCACCCAUUUAUGCUACGCUCACUAAUAUCAAAGAGAGUUUAAGCUUCAAUAUGUAUUCACUGAAUUUGCUCAUUUCUACACUUACUAACAUGAAAGGCCUCUUUUUGUUGGUAAUGCACUGGCUUGCAUACACAUGGGUGCGUCACUGCCUGCUAUUUGAAAAAUCUUAGACCGGCUGAAGUGCUUACAGGUUUCACUUUACUGUCUGAGUUAAUGGUGCUGAUGCAGGCUUGUGGGUUUGCAGUGAGAAGUGAUCAGGAGUUUCAGUGUCACAGGGAUGUGGUUAGCUGAUGGUCAUCAUGUUUACAUGUGGGUAGUCAUGGACAAUGAGAAAGUGAAAUCAACUUCUGAGGGCUAGUUUUAGACGUGAGCUGAGUCUGAGAAAAGAUAGUUUACUUUAUAAUGGGUUUGAAAAAUCAGUGAAAACCUCUCCUGUCUUUUAAUAUCAGUCACCCAUGUUUCUGUUUUUUCCCUGCCUUAGUUUCCUUCCCAGAAUUCAGGUUCAUGUCACAACUUUAAGCAAACAGCUGAUACAUAAAAGAGAAGCAGAGAGCUGAUCCAUUUUUGGAGCCAUCAUGGAGGGAAGAUGAACUUCACACUGAUCUAACCAGCCAUGUAGGGUCACACCCAUUCAGUAUCAUGGACAUUUAAAGCAAGCUGUUCAUUUCUUCAAAAUGAUUUCCGCUUUUCUAGCAGCUAGUCUUCCCCUGUGAAAAGACUGAACUGAAUCUCAGAGACUACAGCAGGAAAUAAAUGCAAACAAGCACAGCACACUCCCUGCUAUGGGAUUGGUCAAAGUCUGCAGCACACUCUCAAAUCAAGUGACACCCAGCUUUAUGAGAGGAGGAAGAAUAAAAGUUCCUCAGGUUCGUGGAGCUGUCUAACAUCAUUUCCAGUCUCCAUUUCAAGCAGAAGAACUAGAUGACCUAAUAUUUCCUUUCCCAUCUCCAACUUCUACAAUGUCUACAUUUAGGAUGUAUGUUAUCAUCAUUUAUCCAGGUAUUGUACAGCCAUAGGAAGUGAAGGUCCCAUGCUCUAAGAACUUACUGUCUAAAUAGACAACCUAUAUACAGAUAGUGGGUGAAUGACAUGUACUGACAACCAGUUUGAUUCACCAGUAAAGU